AGUACGGCCGCAAGGCUAAAACUCAAAUGAAUUGACGGGGACCCGCACAAGCGGUGGAGCAUGUGGUUUAAUUCGAUGCAACGCGAAAAACCUUACCUAUACUUGACAUACUUGGAAUGCUUUGUAAUGAAGCAGUGCCUUCGGGAGCCAGGAUACAGGUGCUGCAUGGCUGUCGUCAGCUCGUGUCGCGAGAUGUUCCGUUAAGUUGGAUAACGAGCGCAACCCUUACCCUUAUUUGCCAGCGAUUCGGUCGGGAACUAUAAGGGGACUGCCGGUGAUAAACCGGAGGAAGGUGAGGACGACGUCAAGUCAUCAUGGCCCUUACGUAUAGGGCUACACACGUGCUACAAUGGGGAAUACAGACGGACGCUAAGCCGCGAGGUGGUGCUAAUCCUAGAAAAUUCUUCGUAGUCCGGAUUGGAGUCUGCAACUCGACUCCAUGAAGUCGGAAUCGCUAGUAAUCGCGAAUCAGCAUGUCGCGGUGAAUACGUUCUCGGGUCUUGUACACACCGCCCGUCAUACCAUGGAAGUGGAUUGCACCAGAAGUAGAUAGUCUAACCUUCGGGAGGGCGUUUACCACGGUGUGCUUCAUGACUGGGGUAAAGUCGUAACAAGGUAACC
rnacentral:rRNA from 1 species